rnacentral:rRNA from 1 species
CGGCGGACGGGUGAGUAACGCGUAGGAAUCUACCUGGUAGUGGGGGACAACAUGGGGAAACCCAUGCUAAUACCGCAUACGCCCUAUGGGGGAAAGCGGGGGACCUUCGGGCCUCGCGCUAUCAGAUGAGCCUGCGUAGGAUUAGCUUGUUGGUGAGGUAAAGGCUCACCAAGGCGACGAUCCGUAGCUGGUCUGAGAGGACGAUCAGCCACACUGGGACUGAGACACGGCCCAG